rnacentral:tRNA from 1 species
GUUCCGGUGGUUCAAUGGCAGAACGUGCGGCUGUUAACCGUCUGACGAAGGUUCGAUUCCUUCCCGGAGCG